GGUGCUGUGGCUCAGUGGUAGAGCACUCCUCUAGCAUAGGUGAGGCACUGGGUUCAAUCCUCAGCACCACAU
rnacentral:tRNA from 1 species